rnacentral:rRNA from 1 species
CUCGGAUCAGGUAGGGAUACCCGCUGAACUUAACAUAUCAAUAAGCGGAAGAAAAGAAACCAACCGGGAUUGCCUCAGUAACGGCGAGUGAAGCGGCAAGAGCUCAAAUUUGAAAGCUGGCUCCUUCGGGGUCCGCAUUGUAAUUUGCAGAGGAUGCUUCGGGUGCGGCCCCUGUCUAAGUGCCCUGGAACGGGCCGUCAGAGAGGGUGAGAAUCCCGUCUGGGAUGGGGUGUCCGCGCCCGUGUGAAGCUCCUUCGACGAGUCGAGUUGUUUGGGAAUGCAGCUCUAAAUGGGUGGUAAAUUUCAUCUAAAGCUAAAUACUGGCCGGAGACCGAUAGCGCACAAGUAGAGUGAUCGAAAGAUGAAAAGCACUUUGAAAAGAGAGUUAAAAAGCACGUGAAAUUGUUGAAAGGGAAGCGCUUGCGACCAGACUCGCCUCCAGGGUUCAGCCGGCAUUCGUGCCGGUGUACUUCCCUGGGGGCGGGCCAGCGUCGGUUUGGGCGGCCGGUCAAAGGCUCCCGGAAUGUAGUGCCCUCCGGGGCACCUUAUAGCCGGGAGUGCAAUGCGGCCAGCCUGGACCGAGGAACGCGCUUCGGCACGGACGCUGGCAUAAUGGUCGUAAACGACC